GACGAACGCUGGCGGCGUGCCUAAUACAUGCAAGUCGAACGAGUUGCGAACGGGUGAGUAACGCGUGGUAACCUGCCUCAUAGACGGGGAUAACUUCUGGAAACGAUAGCUAAUACCGCAUACCUUGUAAUGGACUUGCGUGGUAUUUGCUAGUUGGUGAGGUAAAGGCUCUCCAAGGCGACUAUACAUAGCCGACCUGAGAGGGGGAUCGGCCACACUGGUACUGAGACACGGCCCAGACUCCUACGGGAGUCAGCAGUGGGGAAUAUUGCACAAUGGGCGAAAGCCUGAUGCAGCCAUGCCGCGUGUAUGAAGAAGGCCUUCGGGUUGUAAAGUACUUUCAGCGGGGAGGCGUUACCCGCACAAGAAGCACCGGCUAACUCCGUGCCAGCAGCCGCGGUAAUAC
rnacentral:rRNA from 1 species